rnacentral:sRNA from 1 species
GGGAACUGGGAUCUCAACCCCAGGGCUAGGUGCCUCCUCCCGUUGCUUUCCGCCAGCUGCGGGGUGUGAAAUUAAUCCCCGCCGAUUAGCGCCAGGUGUACUAAGCGCUGGAUGGUUCCCUGACCAGAUGAAACAUCAGCCGAUGUUCUAAUGCCCGUGCCCUGGGCGCUGUCCCCGAGGGGGAAAACCUGUUUUCUGACCCCGGCUCUAGUCGGCCUCUGGAGGUCUGCAGCUGGGUUAUUUUACCUCUGAAACGGACGACACCUGCCCCGCACACCCCAGCGGCUCCUCCACACGGAGAGAUGGUGUCAGUCAAAGGCCGUCUAGAUGACGAGUUUAUGAAAUUGUUCCUGGCCCGUGCCGGGCACGACCUUGCAGAGAGCCCAGAAGAUGAAACCCCAGCCCUGCCAGGAGCUCACCUGCUAAUUAGGAGGACAACGAAUCACCUCACCUCCCUAGACUUUGCUUCUCCUUUAUUCAGUGAGGGAUUGGACUAGCUGGUCCUUAAGGACUUUUCAGAAAGUCUGGUUCUGGGAGAUGACCAAUGGGAUCAUCUUAUGCUAUAAGCUUUCCUGGAAUGACAGGUAAUGGAGAGUGAGGAGAUUUUACCUGAUAUGGUCCUGUUUGCACCAUCAGCCAGCAACCUUUCUGGGAAGCAUGCUUAUUAUGUACCAACAUAGAAGCUUGAAUAUAAGGUCUGCCCACAUCAGUGCCCACCAGGAAAACUGCUGCUGUGUUAUCAAGAAUUUAAAGAAACACUCCAGCCUGCUUUGCAGAAAUUAUUUCGCUCUACUUAGAAAAUCUGACCAACUUAAGAUCUAACAAGUACAGAAGGAGGAAAAGGUCAAUGUUUGGAGUGAAUUCUGGACUAACUGGGUGGAUAUAGCCUUAUCCUGAAUCACUUUAGAAGAUUGCUAUCGACAUCAUUCCAAAAAGGUUCAUUGCAGCAUCCAAUUCCAGGUCUCUGGCGAUAAGAGCUAUUUUCUUGCCCUUGUAUG